rnacentral:lncRNA from 1 species
AGAGUUUCUUUACUAUUACCUUUUUUAUUUUUCAUAGUGUGUUUUACAUAUCUCAACUUUGGAAGCAUGUUCCAGAUCCGUCUCAUGUGAUUCAAAUGGAUGAUGUGCAAGUGAGAGAUAACUUGAUUAUGGAGGCAUCAUCAUUUUUGAAUCGAUGAUCGAGAAGAAAAUAUAUUGUUUUAUGUGAUGUUUGUACGGGGAGGACCUGCUGGAGGAAGCAUGACAUGGGAGCUAGAGAGUCGGACGAAAGAGUCUUAUC